AGAGGAUUCCCUAGUAGCGGCGAGCGAAGCGGGAAGAGCUCAAAUUUAUAAUCUGGCACCUUCGGUGUCCGAGUUGUAAUCUCUAGAAGUGUUUUCCGCGUUGGACCGCACACAAGUCUGUUGGAAUACAGCGGCAUAGUGGUGAAACCCCCGUAUAUGGUGCGGACGCCCAGCGCUUUGUGAUACACUUUCAAUGAGUCGAGUUGUUUGGGAAUGCAGCUCAAAUUGGGUGGUAAAUUCCAUCUAAAGCUAAAUAUUGGCGAGAGACCGAUAGCGAACAAGUACCGUGAGGGAAAGAUGAAAAGCACUUUGGAAAGAGAGUUAACAGUACGUGAAAUUGUUGGAAGGGAAACGCUUGAAGUCAGACUUGCUUGCCGGAGCUUGCUUCGGUUUGCAGGCCAGCAUCAGUUUUCCGGGGUGGAUAAUGACGGUUUGAAGGUAGCAGUCUCGGCUGUGUUAUAGCUUUCCGUUGGAUACGCCCUGGGGGACUGAGGAACGCAGCGUGCUUUUUGCGAAAGACUCGUCUUUUUCACGCUUAGGAUGCUGGUGGAAUGGCUUUAAACGACCCGUCUUGAAACCCCCGGGAA
rnacentral:rRNA from 1 species